rnacentral:rRNA from 1 species
UGGGGAAUUUUGCACAAUGGGCGGAAGCCUGAUGCAGCGACGCCGUGUGGGGGAUGAAGGCCUUCGGGUUGUAAACUCCUUUCGUCAGGGACGAAGUUUGUUUGACUGUACCUGGAUAAGAAGCACCGGCUAACUACGUGCCAGCAGCCGCGGUAAUACGUAGGGUGCGAGCGUUUUCCGGAUUUACUGGGCGUAAAGGGCUCGUAGGUGGUGUGUUGCGGCGUCUGUGUAAUCCAGGGGCUUAACUUUUGGUUGGCAGGCGAUACGGGCAUAGCUUGAGUGCUGUAGGGGAGACUGGAAUUCCUGGUGUAGCGGUGAAAUGCGCAGAUAUCAGGAGGAACACCGAUGGCGAAGGCAGGUCUCUGGGCAGUUACUGACGCUGAGGAGCGAGAGCAUGGGUAGCGAACAGG